UGUUUGGAGAGUUUGAUUCUGGCUCAGGACGAACGCUGGCGGCGUGCUUAACACAUGCAAGUCGAACGGAAAGGCCCUUUCGGGGGUACUCGAGUGGCGAACGGGUGAGUAACACGUGGGUGAUCUGCCCUGCACUUCGGGAUAAGCCUGGGAAACUGGGUCUAAUACCGGAUAGGACUUCUGGCUGCAUGGUUGGGAGUGGAAAGCUUUUGCGGUGUGGGAUGGGCCCGCGGCCUAUCAGCUUGUUGGUGAGGUUAUGGCUUACCAAGGCGACGACGGGUAGCCGGCCUGAGAGGGUGUCCGGCCACACUGGGACUGAGAUACGGCCCAGACUCCUAC
rnacentral:rRNA from 1 species